rnacentral:rRNA from 1 species
UACCCUAACCGUGCGAAGGUAGCAUAAUCACUUGUUCUUUAAAUGGGGACUCGUAUCAACGGCACCACGAGGAUCAUACUGUCUCCCUCUUCCAAUCAGUGAAACUGAUCUCUCCGUGAAGAAGCGGAGAUUUAAUUAUAAGACGAGAAGACCCCAUGGAGCUUUAAACCCGAUAGCACCCCUAUUCAAUUAAAUCUUUAUAUUCAUUUGGGUUCUGCCUGCUCGGUUUUAGGUUGGGGUGACCGCGGAGCACAAAAUAACCUCCACGAAGGAUGGACUUAAUUCCUUAUCCAAGAGACACACCUCUAAGAAUUAGCACACUAAUAUAAAAUGAUCCGAUAUUUUUAUUGAUCAACGAACCAAGUUACCCUGGGGAUAACAGCGCAAUCCACUUCAAGA